CUGCGACACGUGCAGGAACAGCGCAUGUAUCAUCUAUAGUGUGGAGUUGGAUUUUAAGCAGCAAGAAGAUAAACUACAGCCAGUUUUGAGAAAACUUCAUCCCAUUGAGGAAACUCAGGUUGCACCUUUGCCUUAUUCUCAGGAGAGUUACUCCUCUACUCCCAAGCAAAAAUCCAAAACUGAGUCAAAAAAGCACGGAAGAUGGAAACUCUGGUUCCUUUAACCAAGUCCAUGGCACAUGGAGCUCAAGGCCUUCUUUGAGAAGUAUCUGGAAUAAUCCUCU